rnacentral:rRNA from 1 species
GGUGAGUAACACGUGGAUAACCUACCUAUAAGACUGGGAUAACUUCGGGAAACCGGAGCUAAUACCGGAUAAUAUAUUGAGCCGCAUGGUUCAAUAGUGAAAGACGGUUUUGCUGUCACUUAUAGAUGGAUCCGCGCCGCAUUAGCUAGUUGGUAAGGUAACGGCUUACCAAGGCGACGAUGCGUAGCCGACCUGAGAGGGUGAUCGGCCACACUGGAACUGAGACACGGUCCAG